rnacentral:rRNA from 1 species
AUACGGAGGGUGCAAGCGUUAAUCGGAAUUACUGGGCGUAAAGAGUACGUAGGUGGUUCGUUAAGUCAGAUGUGAAAGCCCAGGGCUCAACCUUGGGACUGCAUUUGAAACUGGCGAACUCGAGUAUGGUAGAGGGGGGUAGAAUUCAUAGUGUAGCGGUGAAAUGCGUAGAUAUUAUGAGGAAUACCAGUGGCGAAGGCGGCCCCCUGGACCAAUACUGACACUGAGGUACGAAAGCGUGGGGAGCGAACAGGAUUAGAUACCCGAGUAGUCC